rnacentral:rRNA from 1 species
GAUGAACGCUGGCGGCGUGCCUAAUACAUGCCAGUCGAGCGAACGGACGAGAAGCUUGCUUCUCUGAUGUUAGCGGCGGACGGGUGAGUAACACGUGGAUAACCUACCUAUAAGACUGGGAUAACUUCGGGAAACCGUAGCUAAUACCGGAUAAUAUUUUGAACCGCAUGGUUCAAAAGUGAAAGACGGUCUUGCUGUCACUUAUAGAUGGAUCCGCGCUGCAUUAGCUAGUUGGUAAGGUAACGGCUUACCAAGGCAACGAUGCAUAGCCGACCUGAGAGGGUGAACGCCCACACUGGAACAGAGACACGGUCCAGACUCCUACGGGAGGCAGCAGUAGGGAAUCUUACGCAAUGGGCGAAAGCCUGAUGGAGCAACGCCGCGUGAGUGAUGAAGGUCUUCGGAUCGUAAAACUCUGUUAUUAGGGAAGAACAUAUGUGUAAGUAACUGUGCACAUCUUGACGGUACCUAAUCAGAAAGCCACGGCUAACUACGUG